UCUUUAUCCAACAGGAUGCCUUUUCAUCAAAUUUAGGGACUAAGCAGGAAAUCCACUAUAAGUGGGGACCUAUAAGAGAACUUGGCAGAAGCUUAAGUUUAUAUGAGAGUGCCAAGGGAAUUAAGGGGAAUACUGAGGUGUAAAGCAGUGAUAAAUCAAGAUAAGCCUAUCAUAACCGGAAAAAUAACCUACGUGAAGGUCCUGAUGAUAGUAGAAGUUUCCAAACAGAAGUCCUUAACAUGAAGAUGGUGCAGGAUAUCUACACAUAAAUCAUGGCUUCCUGUGCAACUUUACUUUGGAGACUUUAGAAAGAUCUUACUACCAAAUGUUGCUCCUACUCUAGCUUGUCAAUGGUGUUGGAAAUUCAACAUUUUGACUUUUUAAUAUUGGAAGAAUAUUGGUCAAAACAGGUCAUAAGCCCCAAGUCUAAUGUAAAGGAUACUGGGAAACGUAAGGAAGUACAUCGAAUAUUUGAGAUAGAAGAAAGAGAAUACAAGGCAGAUAAACACUGAGAAAAAGUUAAAGCUGGUGAUGAGGGAGAUUCACAUCAGAUGGUUACAUGUAAGGCAGAGUCAUCUGCAAAGCAUGAAGGUGGCAACAGCAGGGUUUCAGCAG